GUUGGCUGGAAUGAAGCUAGAUGUGACACUAAGAUAAAAACUCUAUGCAGAAAAAAUGACCAGAAAGACAAGAUUGACAAAUAAGCCAUCAUGGCUGAAAUCUUUAGUCUAUUUAUUAAUGGAGUUAUAUAUCUUUUUGACAUCAACUUAUAAUUUCUUUCUAUAGUUGGUAAAACUAGGGAAAAUGAAAUAAUGAAUUGGAAACUUUACUUUAUUGCCCCAACUACAAGGUUACAAAUAAAGUUGCAGUUAACUAAAUAUAUGAUGAAAACGUAUGGUGACAUAUGUUAUGAAGUAAAAGAAUAUUUUGUUUGAUGAAAAGAAUCAUAUAGCUGAGUAAAAUUGUUUAAGCUUACCGG
rnacentral:lncRNA from 1 species